rnacentral:rRNA from 1 species
UACGUAGGGGGCUAGCGUUGUCCGGAUUUAUUGGGCGUAAAGAGCGUGUAGGCGGCCAGAUAGGUCUGCUGUGAAAACUCGAGGCUCAACCUCGAGAUGUCGGCGGAAACCAUUUGGCUAGAGUCCGGAAGAGGAAAGUGGAAUUCCUGGUGUAGCGGCGAAAUGCGCAGAUAUCAGGAAGAACACCCGUGGCGGAGGCGGCUUUCUGGGACGGUACUGACGCUGAGACGCGAAAGCGUGGGGAGCGAACAGG